UAACAUUUUCUUUCCUUCUGGUUUCAGGUCUGGUUGGUUUCCAAUACGGUAGAUGCAUCAGUAGGUCUUUGGAAAAACUGUACCAACAUUAGCUGCAGUGACAGCCUGUCAUAUGCCAGUGAAGAUGCCCUCAAGACAGUGCAGGCCUUCAUGAUUCUCUCUAUCAUCUUCUGUGUCAUUGCCCUCCUGGUCUUCGUGUUCCAGCUCUUCACCAUGGAGAAGGGAAACCGGUUCUUCCUCUCAGGGGCCACCACACUGGUGUGCUGUGAGUAUCUCAUGGGUAGACUCCAGUUUACACUUUUAAGUCCAUCUUACCAUGGGUGUUUCUGGCAACUUGAACAGAUUAGCACAUGGUUCAGUGAAACUUCCUUGUGCAAUUUUCUCCUCUGGUUAUUUGUUCUCUUGUGGAGAACCUUGGAUUGCUGCUUAGGUUAAGAACCCUCAUCUGCUUCAUUGUUCAAAACCAGUGCUCCUGGGUAGCUACCAAGUGGCAGUGCAUAUCUGUUAGUAGCACGUGUGUACAAGACACUUCAAGAAGGCAGAAAGGUAGGAGUUCUCAGAAAGAUGAAACCACUGCCACAAUGCACAUCAUUAUUGUGAUUCUCACUUAAUUGUUGUUCUUUCCCAAUAUACUCGGUUUGGUGGAAGGACAUGCUCUUUUGCAUCCCUGAGUAGCUUUCCUAGACCCACAAGGGCCAGACAGGACAGCUGGGUGGUAGGCAUGAGGUUCUGUGUUUUACAUCACAGCGUGGCCACACAAACCAGUGCAGACAUGAGAGCCCAGACACCUCUAAUUUAUCAACAUACCG
rnacentral:lncRNA from 1 species